CUUCCGUUGAUCCCGCCGGACCUGACUGCUAUCAGAGUGGGACUAAGCCAUGCGAGUCAACAUAGCAAUAUGUGGCAUACGGCUCAGUAACACGUAGUCAACAUGCCCAGGGGACGUGGAUAACCUCGGGAAACUGAGGAUAAACCGCGAUAAGUCACUACUUCUGGAAUGGGUAAUGACUCAAAUCUACAUGGCCCCUGGAUUGGACUGCGGCCGAUCAGGCUGUUGGUGAGGUAAUGGCCCACCAAACCUGUAACCGGUACGGGCUCUGAGAGGAGGAGCCCGGAGAUGGGCACUGAGACAAGGGCCCAGGCCCUAUGGGGCGCAGCAGGCGCGAAACCUCUGCAAUAGGCGAAAGCCUGACAGGGUUACUCUGAGUGAUUUCCGUUAAGGAGAUCUUUUGGCACCUCUAAAAAUGGUGCAGAAUAAGGGGUGGGCAAGUCUGGUGUCAGCCGCCGCGGUAAUACCAGCACCCCGAGUGGUCGGGACGUUUAUUGGGCCUAAAGCAUCCGUAGCCGGUUCUACAAGUCUUCCGUUAAAUCCACCUGCUUAACAGAUGGGCUGCGGAAGAUACUAUAGAGCUAGGAGGCGGGAGAGGCAAGCGGUACUCGAUGGGUAGGGGUAAAAUCCGUUGAUCCAUUGAAGACCACCAGUGGCGAAGGCGGCUUGCCAGAACGCGCUCGACGGUGAGGGAUGAAAGCUGGGGGAGCAAACCGGAUUAGAUACCCGGGUAGUCCCAGCUGUAAACGAUGCAGACUCGGUGAUGAGUUGGCUUCUUGCCAACUCAGUGCCGCAGGGAAGCCGUUAAGUUUGCCGCCUGGGGCGUACGGUCGCAAGACUGAAACUUAAAGGAAUUGGCGGGGGGACA
rnacentral:rRNA from 1 species